ACUGCUCAGUAACACGUAGUCAACAUGCCCAGGGGACGUGGAUAACCUCGGGAAACUGAGGCUAAACCGCGAUAGGCCAAGAUUUCUGGAAUGGAUCAUGGCUUAAAUCUAUAUGGCCCCUGGAUUGGACUGCGGCCGAUCAGGCUGUUGGUGAGGUAAUGGCCCACCAAACCUGUAACCGGUACGGGCUCUGAGAGGAGGAGCCCGGAGAUGGGCACUUAGACAAGGGCCCAGGCCCUAUGGGGCGCAGCAGGCGCGAAACCUCUGCAAUAAGCGAAAGCUUGACAGGGUUACUCUGAGUGAUUUCCGCUAAGGAAGUCUUUUGGCACCUCUAAAAAUGGUGCAGAAUAAGGGGUGGGCAAGUCUGGUGUCAGCCGCCGCGGUAAUACCAGCACCCCGAGUGGUCGGGACGAUUAUUGGGCCUAAAGCAUCCGUAGCCGGUCCUGCAAGUCCUCCGUUAAAUCCACCCGCUCAACGGUUGGGCCGCGGGGGAUACUACAGGGCUAGGAGGCGGGAGAGGCAAGCGGUACUCGAUGGGUAGGGGUAAAAUCCACUGAUCCAUUGAAGACCACCAGUGGCGAAGGCGGCUUGCCAGAACGCGCUCGACGGUGAGGGAUGAAAGCUGGGGGAGCAAACCGGAUUAGAUACCCGGGUAGUCCCAGCUGUAAACGAUGCAGACUCGGUGAUGGGCUGGCUUCGUGCCAACCCGGUGCCGCAGGAAGCCGUUAAGUCUGCCGCCUGGGGGGUACGGUCGCAAGACUGAAACUUAAAGGAAUUGGCGGGGAGCAC
rnacentral:rRNA from 1 species